rnacentral:rRNA from 1 species
CUGUACUAAGGUAGCAUAAUAAUUUGCCCUAUAAAUUGGGGCUAGAAUGAAUGGUUUGACGAGAAUUUAACUGUCUCUAUUUUAUUUAUUAGAAAUUAAUUUUUAUAGUGAAAAAGCUUUAAUUAUUUAAAGGGACGAAAAGACCCUAUUGAGCUUUUGUUAUUAUAUAGAUAUAUAUAUAUAUAUAUAUAUAUAAUUUAUUUGUAAAUAACUUUGGUUGGGGUGAUCAAGGAAUAAAAUUAAUUUAAAGUAUUGUAUUAACUUCCUUAAUUUUGAGUUUAGUUGAAGAAUAAACCAAGUUUUUUGCUUAGAAGAUAAGUUACCAUAGGGAUAACAGCGUAAUUUUUUUUGAGAGUUCAUAUUGAAAAAAGAGAUUGCGACCUCGAUGUU